CUAACCGCGUCUGUCUGUUAACGGUAGCAGGUUGUACAUGGCGAGCGGGUUACUCACUGAGGGUUGGUGAUUGGUGUAAUGGAAGCCGUCUCUGAACCGCAUUUAAUGACGGAGAACUACAGGAGUGGAGAGAAAACGCAGCACUGAGCAACUUGUAGACUUCACACCCGACUGUAGAAUCCCUUCUAUUGUGUGCUGGAAGAUCGCUGGACUUGAAGCAACUCCAAAUGGUGGCCUGUUUGUCCAAAGCCCAGGCUGACCCCCCACCCCUUCAACCUUUGCAGCAAUGCUGGCAGCACUAUUUCCCAAAGACAACCUCUGGCUAUGCCGCUGAGCACGUGCACUCAACUUCUUCUUUGGUCGACCAUGGCGAGGCCUGUUCUGAGUGGAACCUGUCCUGUUAAACCGCUGUAUGGUCUUGGCCACCGUUCUGCAGCUCAGUGUCAGGGUCUUGUGCCCAAAGCCCGUGGUGGUGGCAGUGCAUGGCGUUUGUGUGGAAGCAGGUCUGUUGGGAGUGUUAAGUACCAUCAUCUCAUACACUCACCACAACUCUGGGAAGUUCCAUCCAUAUUGUUUGCUGUCACUUUUCCUGCAAAGCUUUAACCAUCAGAGAGUUAUCUUUUACUGGGGCUUUUAGCUGCAGGAGACUGAAUUACUAAGUUUUUUUUUUUGUGGAUCUGAUUUCUUCUUUCGCAGGAGUGGAUCUAAUCACAGCCUGUGAUAUUCGUCUGUGCACACAGGAUGCCUGGUUUCAGGUGAAGUCGUGUGUUCCCUGAUAGUCCAUGAUUGCUGGAGCUCUGGAAAUAGCAGGUGAGAUUGCAGGCCGGAGUCGCGUCGCUGUCCAAGGAACCAAAAUCAACCUCCUCUACUCCUGAGACCACAGUGUGACUGAGAGCCUAGACUACAUGGCUACUUGGAACAUGAACAUGUUGCAGACACAGGAUCUUAUGAAGUCAGCGCAGGCAGCCCUGGAAAAGAAGAGUCCGAAAGACAUGCCCUUCUCCAAGCUUUAAAGGAGAAGAUCCAGGGCUGUUGAAGCUGCGGUGGAACUGAGACAUCAUUAUCCACAUAUCUUCAGUUCUUCUUGCUAAGUCUGUUUCUUUUUAGUCUUUUUAUUUUUAGACUGGUCAAAAGACUGAUUAGUGGAAGUGAAAUGAUAGAUGAACUUUUAUUUACUUGCUUUAUUAUUUGCAGGUGCCUUGUACAGUAAGACAGGGUAACUAAUACUCAAAAGCUUUUUUUGUGUGUUAACAUGUACAGUAGAUGGACAUAUUUGUUCUGGUGCUGUGACUGCAGAAUGUAGUGCAGUUAACACAUUAAAUUUCCUUGGAUGCUCACUUUUAACUCUAGGAGGUCACAGUUUGCCCAGACAUCUUUUUUUAAAUCCGUCAAUCCGUCACCCACACGUCAUUCUGGGGGACGAAGAGGAGGAAGCUGGACAUAUAAAUUUAUUUAUUUAUUUAUCAUUGCUGUGUUUCCUCAAUCGAGUGCAGAAAGAAGAAAAACAACACAACUGAUUUAAAAUAAAAAUAUAGAAAAUAAUCUAAUGUAAGAUUCUGAUCCGGUUUGCUUUCAGCAGGAAGGCUGUCCUCUUUCCUGUUGCUCUUUCUCUUCUAUUAGUCCAUUUGUCCAGUCUGAAUCGGUUUUGAUUCGUUUCGAGACGAUUCGGAGUCGAAUAAUUUUCUAGUGAGAGUUGCACACUUCCAAACGAACUAGACUGAGAUGAGUAUUUGAUUCUCACUAGAAAGUGAUUCGACUCUGAAUAAACUCGAAAUGAAUCAGUCAAACUGAUUCAGACUCUAUAAAAGGACUGAGAUGUGAUUAAGAUAUAUAUUCCAAUGUUUUGCUUUACAAUUCCAUUGUGUGUGUGUGUGUGUGUGCGUGCGCGCGCACGUGUGUUUUUCAGGAGAACGAGAAACUCGGACACAACAGUACAUCCUGACCAUUGGUACUGUGUACACAUCAACAUACACACACACGUCUCCAUGCUGGACAUCUCAGGAGCUUUCACACAGUGCUAGGAAUAUCCCGGGACAGAGAAACGCACCUUCUAAGUGAGCGAGUUUAGCGUCAACCGGUGAAAUUUGCUGUAGCGUGAACACUUUGCCUCUGUGAGCUUCACUCUCCGUAGGGUUCACUGUAAUUAGACAUAAAAUGUACAUAGAUUAUUUUUCAUGCAUUUAGGAUUUCGUGUUUUAUUUUUUUAUUUUUUUAUUUUUUUUUUACUCUUCGAGGAAAAGAAAUGAUCUUUCGAGGCAGCUUCUUCAUCACUACCUGCUCCGUUUGACUCAAAAAUGUAACGACCGGUUUCAAAAAGUCACGAUGUCUUCAGUUCAUGAGAUUUUACUGUUGAAUUUAAACAGGAAAUGUGAAAUAUUUUUUCCCUUUGUUUCCUCUACUGUCUUUUUGCUGUGAUCUUGAACACAGUUGUAAUUUAAAAAAAAAAAUAAUAAAAAAAAUGAUAAUUCUAGUUCUCUCACUUUCCUUGUCCUAAUUGUCCUGUAUCUGUUAAAUCCGUUUCAUCUCUGGUCUUUCUGUCUGUAUGAACACUUGUAGAAAUGACUUGUCCAUAUUUUUAAAUGAUUCGU